GGCUGAAGAAAGGACAAUGAAAAAUAAAAACUGGUGAAUCAACUGAGAUCCAAGUGACACACUAUUGUAAAGAUGGCGUUUAUUAAAGAGGAGAGUGAAGACAUGAAGAUUGAAGAAA